UCAGUGUCGUCCUGACCGUCGUCGGGGUCGGCUGCUUGCCGUUUGUUGUCGCGUGUUGACGAAAAUAGUAACGCUUAGUGAAGAGUCCGUGGCAUUUGACGUUGGUUACAGUGCUUGUGACGAAUAUAGUGGUGACUGAAGUGCGUUUUCAUAUAAGUUUUUUUGAUUUUUUGUUGUGCGGUAUUUGGAUAUUUACAUACAAUAUUUGAAGAUUUUGUGUCAGUGUAGUGUAGAUAUGUCAGGUGAGGAGUGUGGACAGUGAUGUUCGUUUGUCGAUAAAUAUGUGGUCAAGAUGAAGUUGUGGAAGAGUCUCAAGAUAUCGAUUGGCAGUCGCAGUGAUCCCAAGGCGUAUGCGCACGAGUUGCCGCAGUGGGGCGGGCAGGGGUAUGAACUGGAUGUGUUCAAAUCCCAAACAUCAUUAUCUACUGACUCCGGCCUGUGCACAGAGAGAGGACUGCGCAGGACGCACAUAGAACUCAUCAAGCCCCCAGGGAAGAGGAUCGGACUUAAGCUGGCAGGU